rnacentral:ncRNA from 1 species
AACAGCAGGGGAGCUUCGGCUGAGAUUGGCUUACCGCCUAAACCCUUUGACCUGAACCGGACAAUGCCGGCGUAGGGAGCGUUCUU